rnacentral:rRNA from 1 species
UGGCGGCAGGCCUAACACAUGCAAGUCGAGCGGAUGACAGGAGCUUGCUCCUGGAUUCAGCGGCGGACGGGUGAGUAAUGCCUAGGAAUCUGCCUGGUAGUGGGGGACAACGUUUCGAAAGGAACGCUAAUACCGCAUACGUCCUACGGGAGAAAGCAGGGGACCUUCGGGCCUUGCGCUAUCAGAUGAGCCUAGGUCGGAUUAGCUUGUUGGUGAGGUAAUGGCUCACCAAGGCGACGACCUGUAACUGGUCUGAGAGGAUGAUCAGUCACACUGGAACUGAGACACGGUCCAGACUCCUACGGGAGGCAGCAGUGGGGAAUAUUGGACAAUGGGCGAAAGCCUGAUCCAGCCAUGCCGCGUGUGUGAAGAAGGUCUUCGGAUUGUAAAGCAAUUUAAGUUGGGAGGAAGGGUUGUAGAUUAAUACUCUGCAAUUUUGACGUUACCGACAGAAUAAGCACCGGCUAACUCUGUGCCAGCAGCCGCGGUAAUACAGAGGGUGCAAGCGUUAAUCGGAAUUACUGGGCGUAAAGCGCGCGUAGGUGGUUUGUUAAGUUGGAUGUGAAAGCCCCGGGCUCAACCUGGGAACUGCAUCCAAAACUGGCAAGCUAGAGUACGGUAGAGGGUGGUGGAAUUUCCUGUGUAGCGGUGAAAUGCGUAGAUAUAGGAAGGAACACCAGUGGCGAAGGCGACCACCUGGACUGAUACUGACACUGAGGUGCGAAAGCGUGGGGAGCAAACAGAUUGGAUACCCUGGUAGUCCACGCCGUAUACGAUGUCAACUAGCCGUUGGAAUCCUUGAGAUUUUAGUGGCGCAGCUAACGCAUUAAGUUGACCGCCUGGGGAGUACGGCCGCAAGGUUAAAACUCAAAUGAAUUGACGUUGGCCCGCACAAGCGGUGGAGCAUGUGGUUUAAUUCGAAGCAACGNGAAGAACCUUACCAGGCCUUNACAUGCAGAGAACUUUUCAGNGAUGGUAUUGUGCCUUCGGGAGGUGCUGCAUGNCUGUCGUCAGCACUCUACACAUCGUGUCGUGAGAUGUUGGGUUAAGUCCCGUAACGAGCGCAACCCUUGUCCUUAGUUACCAGCACAUUAUGGUGGGCACUCUAAGGAGACUGCCGGUGACAAACCGGAGGAAGGUGGGGAUGACGUCAAGUCAUCAUGGCCCUUACGGCCUGGGCUACACACGUGCUACAAUGGUCGGUACAGAGGGUUGCCAAGCCGCGAGGUGGAGCUAAUCUCACAAAACCGAUCGUAGUCCGGAUCGCAGUCUGCAACUCGACUGCGUGAAGUCGGAAUCGCUAGUAAUCGCGAAUCAGAAUGUCGCGGUGAAUACGUUCCCGGGCCUUGUACACACCGCCCGUCACACCAUGGGAGUGGGUUGCACCAGAAGUAGCUAGUCUAACCUUCGGGGGGACGGUUACCACGGUGUGAUUCAUGACUGGGGUGAAGUGUAACAAGGUAGCCGUAGGGGAACCUGCGGCUGGAUCACCU